CGACGCCGCGUGCGGGAAGAAGGCCUUCGGGUGUAAACCGCUUUCAGGAGGGACGAAGCCACUCGGGUUAAUAGCCCAGAGGGUGACGGUACCUCCAGAAGAAGCCCCGGCUAACUACGUGCCAGCAGCCGCGGUAAUACGUAGGGGGCAAGCGUUGUCCGGAUUCAUUGGGCGUAAAGCGCGUGUAGGCGGCCAGAUAGGUCCGAUGUGAAAACUGGGGGCUCAACCUCCAGCUGUCAUUGGAAACCCUCUGGCUAGAGUCCGGAAGAGGAGAGUGGAAUUCCUGGUGUAGCGGUGAAAUGCGCAGAUAUCAGGAAGAACACCUAUGGCGAAGGCAGCUCUCUGGGACGGUACUGACGCUGAGACGCGAAAGCGUGGGGAGCGAACAGGAUUAGAUACCCUGGUAGUCCACGCCGUAAACGAUGGGCGCUAGGUGUGGGCGGUGUCGACUCCGUCCGUGCCGAAGCUAACGCAUUAAGCGCCCCGCCUGGGGAGUACGGCCGCAAGGCUA
rnacentral:rRNA from 1 species